AAGGGGGACCUAAUUCGGGUAGGAGACGAAAAAAAAGUAGUCCCUACCAAGAAUCAAUCCCAAAAGGUCGGAACGAGGUAUGAGGCUUUCAAACUAGGUUCUGGGUUCAUAAAAGACCUGAAUCAGGAACAAGGGCUAUUAGCUCAGGUGGUUAGAGCGCACCCCUGAUAAGGGUGAGGUCCCUGGUUCGAGUCCAGGAUGGCCCACCUGCACAGGUGGCAAAAACAAGAGAAGCUCCGAAUCAGCACCUUAUCUUAUAUACAUAUAUAAGAGAGAGUGCUGGCUCUGAGUACAGAGUCCAGAGGAACCUUGAAAACUGCAUAGAGCUAGGUGAAAAAGCCAAAAAAGGAGACCGCAA
rnacentral:tRNA from 1 species